CUUGUACUCCCUCCGUCCGAAAAUACUUGUCAUUGAAAUGGAUGUAUCUAGAUGUAUUUUAGUUCUAGACACAUCCAUUUUGAUGACAAGUAAUUCCAGACGAAGGGAGUACUUG
rnacentral:pre_miRNA from 1 species